UACAGAGGUCUCAAGCGUUGUUCGGAUUUACUGGGCGUAAAGGGCGCGUAGGCGGCCUGUUAAGUCGAACGUGAAAUCCCCGGGCUCAACCCGGGAACUGCGUCCGAUACUGGCAGGCUUGAAUUCGGGAGAGGGAUGUGGAAUUCCAGGUGUAGCGGUGAAAUGCGUAGAUAUCUGGAGGAACACCGGUGGCGAAGGCGGCAUCCUGGACCGAUAUUGACGCUGAUGCGCGAAAGCCAGGGGAGCAAACGGG
rnacentral:rRNA from 1 species